rnacentral:lncRNA from 1 species
CCAUUUGCUUGAGACAAAACCACAAACCUUCGAAAAGAGAAAGAAAUGAAAAGAAGAAGAAGUCAAAAGAUCGAAAAAAAAAUCAAGAUGAAGCUCUCAAAACCUCAAGGGACCAACUCACACCACCACAACUUCCCAUAUGCUUGAAACAAAACCCCAACUGGAACCUAAGAAACCCCUCCGAUCUCCCUCAAAUGCUCUCCUUCCCAUAGAUCUUCAAAAAAGAGAAAGAAAUGAAAAAAAAAGAAGCCAAAAAAAAAAUCAAUUUAUGUGAGGGGCUUGGAGCUCUGAAAAUCUUUUGAUUUUUUUUCCAUUCUCAGGUGUCUCAAUCGGGUGGGAGGCUUAGAGCAGCUGAAUAGGGAAGGUUAGACGAUGCAAAAGGUUUACCCUUUAAUUUUUUCAAUCUUUCUUUUGUUUUUGUCAAUUUUUCCUAUGUUUCGCUGUGCUUCCUCUGUAUUUUUUCUAUUUCGGAAGAGCUGCGGGAGCGCUGACGUGAGGCU